rnacentral:rRNA from 1 species
CCUACGGGAGGCAGCAGUGAGGAAUAUUGGUCAAUGGGCGCUAGCCUGAACCAGCCAAGUAGCGUGAAGGAUGACUGCCCUAUGGGUUGUAAACUUCUUUUAUAUGGGAAUAAAGUGCAGUAUGUAUACUGCUUUGCAUGUACCUUAUGAAUACGGAUCGGCUAACUCCGUGCCAGCAGCCGCGGUACUACGGAGGAUCCGAGCGUUAUCCGGAUUUAUUGGGUUUAAAGGGAGUGUAGGCUGGUUGUUAAGUCAGUUGUGAAAGUUUGCGGCUCAACCGUAAAAUUGCAGUUGAUACUGGCAGCCUUGAGUACAGUAGAGGUAGGCGGAAUUCGUGGUGUAGCGGUGAAAUGCUUAGAUAUCACGAAGAACUCCGAUUGCGAAGGCAGCCUGCUGGACUGUAACUGACGCUGAUGCUCGAAAGCGUGGGUAUCAAACAGGAUUAGAUACCCUUGUAGUC